rnacentral:lncRNA from 1 species
CACGCUCUCCAUACACCUGGAGACGAGCCUGAAUCGUUCGCUUUCAAUUCAUAGGAAAAGAAUUCAAGCCAAUGAUUGGCUACGUGUCGCUUUCUCCUCUACCCCUUUCUUCAAUUCCUAGGAAAAGAAUAGUUUUUCAACAUCUCAUUUUGGUGGCUCUGGAUUCUCAGAUCAGCAAUGCAUAAAAAAUAUAAAAUACUUUUCAUAUCUACACACGGAAAUUAAUAACAAUAACAAUUCAUAAUAUUUGGCUUUGACCAUAACACCACAACAAAAGUUUGGGUUUUACAUCUUACACUGAAUGUUCAAAAUCCACCGAGGAAAAACAAAUUCAACACAAAACACAACCCCUCCCCACAAAUUACACAACUGUAAAAGACCCCAAGAAUUUGAUCCCCAUCUGAACCACUAGAAUUUCUACUACCCCAGACUAGCAUGGUGAUAACAAUGGAUAACGUCAGUCUGAGAUCAGAGGUCUCAGUAAGUUGUUACUGGUGAGAUGCAUCCGAGAGGGGCAUUGUUCCAGAUAAGAGUCUUAUAGCCCGACAUCCCCCACCAUUAGUCAGAUUUGAGAUCUUGAGUAAGGUUCUGGUAUGAGACUCCAUUUUGUUGGCCAUUGCUUUUCAAAUCCUCUUUCAACUGAAUUACAUCGACAGAGAAACAUUAGAAAGAUUCAUUCAACCCAUUGCAGGACGCUUAGUGGACU